AUUGAACGCUGGCGGCAGGCCUAACACAUGCAAGUCGAACGAGUGGCGGACGGGUGAGUAAUGUCUGGGAAACUGCCUGAUGGAGGGGGAUAACUACUGGAACCGGUAGCUAAUACCGCAUACCAUCAGAUGUGCCCAGAUGGGAUUAGCUUGUUGGGGGGGUAACGGCUCACCAAGGCGACGAUCCCUAGCUGGUCUGAGAGGAUGACCAGCCACACUGGAACUGGGACACGGGCCAGAUGCCGCCGGGGGGCAGCAGUGGGGAAUAUGUCCCAAUGGGCGCAAGCCUGAUGCAGCCAUGCCGUGUUUAUGAAGAAGGCCUUCGGGUUGUAAAGUACUUUCAGCGGGGAGGCGUUACCCGCAGAAGAAGCACCGGCUAACUCCGUGCCAGCAGCCGCGGUAAUAC
rnacentral:rRNA from 1 species